rnacentral:sRNA from 1 species
CGAAAGCCUGACGGAGCAAUACCGCGUGAGGGACGAAGGCUUUUGGGUCGUAAACCUCUUUUCUCAAGGAAGAUUUAGACGGUACUUGAGGAAUAAGCAUCGGCUAACUCCGUGCCAGCAGCCGCGGUAAUACGGAGGAUGCAAGCGUUAUCCGGAUGAUUGGGCGUAAAGCGUCCGCAGGUGGUUUUGUAAGUCUGCUGUUAAAGCGUGUAGCUCAACUACAUACAGGCAGUGGAAACUAUGAGACUAGAGUAUGUUAGGGGUAGAGGGAAUUCCCAGUGUAGCGGUGAAAUGCGUAGAGAUUGGGAAGAACACCGGUGGCGAAAGCGCUCUGCUAGGACAAUACUGACACUGAGGGACGAAAGCUAGGGGAGCGAAUGGGAUUAGAUACCCCAGUAGUCCUAGCCGUAAACGAUGGAUACUAGGCGUUGCCCGUAUCGACCCGGGCAUUGUCGUAGCUAACGCGUUAAGUAUCCCGCCUGGGGAGUACGCACGCAAGUGUGAAACUCAAAGGAAUUGACGGGGGCCCGCACAAGCGGUGGAGUAUGUGGUUUAAUUCGAUGCAACGCGAAGAACCUUACCAGGACUUGACAUGUCGCGAAUCUCUGGGAAACUAGAGAGUGCCUUCGGGAGCGCGAACACAGGUGGUGCAUGGCUGUCGUCAGCUCGUGUCGUGAGAUGUUGGGUUAAGUCCCGCAACGAGCGCAACCCUCGUUUUUAGUUGCCAUCAUUAAGUUGGGCACUCUAGAGAGACUGCCGGUGACAAACCGGAGGAAGGUGGGGAUGACGUCAAGUCAGCAUGCCCCUUACGUCCUGGGCUACACACGUACUACAAUGCGACGAACAAAGGGCAGCUAGUUAGCAAUAACAUGCAAAUCUCAGAAAUCGUCGCUCAGUUCAGAUUGAAGGCUGCAACUCGCCUUCAUGAAGUCGGAAUCGCUAGUAAUUGCAGGUCAGCAUACUGCAGUGAAUUCGUUCCCGGGCCUUGUACACACCGCCCGUCACACCAUGGAAGCUGGUCACGCCCGAAGUAGUUAUCCUAACUUUCGAGGGGGAGACUCCGAAGGUAGGGCUGGUGACUGGGGUGAAGUCGUAACAAGGUAGCCGUACCGGAAGGUGUGGCUGGAUCACCUCCUUUUUAGGGAGACCUACCCAACUUGUAGUAAUCAGUACUUCAGUACUGUAGAAAUCGCAAGAAGGUCAUUACCUAGGUCGUUAGAGAAUUGGCUUUGGCUUCAGACUAUUAUUUGAUUCGGGAUAAAUUCAGGAAAAAUGAGUAAGGAAAAUUCAGCAACUGUAGUUAAUUAACUCAGCCUGCUGGAUGUAUGUCCAGUAAGAACCUUGAAAACUGCAUAGUGACGCAAAUUGUAGGCAGUAACCGUGUUAAGUGUAAUUACUGAAGUAAUUAAUACGAAAAAGGCAUGGGUAUUGAGUACAGACAAUCCUUUUGAAUUGAAAAGAUUUGGUCAAGCGAAUAAGGGCUGACGGU